UACGGAGGGUGCGAGCGUUGUCCGGAAUCAUUGGGCGUAAAGGGCGCGUAGGUGGCCUGGUCAGUUCGUGGUGAAAGCGCGGGGCUCAACUCCGCGUCGGCCAUGAAUACUGCUGGGCUUGAGCACUGUAGAGGCAGGCGGAAUUCCGGGUGUAGCGGUGGAAUGCGUAGAGAUCCGGAAGAACACCGGUGGCGAAGGCAGCCUGCUGGGCAGUAGCUGACACUGAGGCACGAAGGCCAGGGGAGCAAACGGG
rnacentral:rRNA from 1 species